AAGCCGUGAGUUCCUCCAGUGAGCUUUGCCCAUCGUUUACCUCUUGUGGUAUGCUCUGAUCUGCUCUGGUCUUGUGUGUUGUGUUAUUUGUCUAUGUGCGGAUUGCUCUGGGGCAUGUUCUGUGGGUUCACUUUACUACUGUGCUGCUGCUGCCCCUGAAUGCCCUGGCAUUUACGUGACACGUUUUGUAAGUUCUCAUUGUUGCCGGCCGUUAAUCAGAUUCACGGAGCAUUUCUUCACCGUCGUCGUCGUCUUCGUUCCUCUUUAUGUACUUUCAUUGUUAUCACUGGGAAAUGCCUUAAUCCGAAUUUAUGAAAUGAAAGCGGAAGUCUGCUGUGGCUUGUUGUUGUUGUUUUUCUCUAUUGUCUUCUCCGCUCCGGUGCUCAGAUCUGCCCUUCAUCUGCGUUAUGUUGUGUGGCAUUUCGGAUGCGAUACUUACGAGCGCCGAUCUUUUUUUUCCAGCUUUUUUUUAUUUACGGUUACUUCAUUUUGGGGGGUUUUAUCAUUAUAUUUCUCUGAUUGAUUUAGGCGUUUGCGGAACAGCAAAUGAGAGACAGAGAGCGAGAGACAGUGAAGAGAAAACCCAGGCAAGAUCGACAGCUGUUCCGCCUCCAGGCCUCCGGGCAGUCCAAAUUCUACGAAGAGUAGAAAAACUUUAUGACGGAAGAUGCCACACAAUCUGUUUAUUGAUUUAUAGUCUGGGGAAAGUGCCAAUAAAACGCCGAGCACGAACCAGAAGCUGCCUAGGAUUAUUGUCCGUAUGUUUCGACUGGAGAAGCGGGAAAAUCCCCCGAAUGCGAUCGUUAAAUUUACUUCGCUCUGAACCACCACCACUAAAACUCCCUCUGUCUCUC
rnacentral:lncRNA from 1 species